CAUGUAUUGUGCGCAAGGAUUCGGCGCGGGAAAGCAAUGCACGUCACUCGCAAGCCGGUUCUCGCAGUUUGUUCUAGUAUACCACACAAGGCGUUCGUUUGGCUGUAUACUGUUCAACCAGGUCCGAUCGAACUUUUUCGCCGACAAGACUUUCCCGCCAAACGUUGUUUAUUUUUUAAUUUCAUGUAGCUGUGAUUUUUCUGUGCCAGGAUUAUUUAUGUGAUGCGCUGUUGUGUAUAAAGUGAUUGUGAUAACCGAAUGGAAUGUGGAAACUGAUUUCAUGAAAAAUAUAGAAGGACGGGAUCAAUUUGAAUGCUUCUGUCAUGAAGCGGGGAGGUGGCAUACUUCAUUACUCGCAGAUCAAACAAUCGCCGACAACGCCGCCAUCUUGCCGGAAGACACGUCACCGACGAUCACUUUGAUCCUGCACAAAAAUAACGCUCUAAUUCAUACCCUCCAAGCCUCCAGACCUCCGACAUAGGCCUGAUGUGUCGGAGACAGCGGCAGGAAGACACCCCCCCUCACCCCACGGGAUGCCUCCGUGGAUACAGAUUAUACAUAGACAUUCAGUCUAUUCAACUGGAACCGGUUAAGUAUUCCAAAUAAUAAAUAAUUUAUAUCGAAUCUAUUGUGACAUCCAUCCUCAAAAGAAAAACCUAAUUUCCAACAAUUAUUACUACUAUGUAAAUAAAACUCGGAUCAAAAAAAUUUAUAUACGUAUAUAUAGUAAAUAUGUACAAAAUUUUAUUUCACUUUUUUGUUAUUUAGAUAAUAAUCACAAUUGAGAGUUACUUUUAAAGUAAAAUAUUUCAUAUUUUUCAUUUAGUUUUAAUGUUAUAUUAAAUAGGUUUCCAUACAGAAAAUACGGAUUAAAAAAUCAGGAAAUUUGGUGUGUUCUAACUUUCCACCUCACCCAGAACAAGUAAGAACAUCAAGACAAAUGUAAUGAUAACUAAGUGGUUGAAUUUUUUCAAAUUACAUUCAUUUUUAAAACUCGAACUACUCUUUUUUACUAUAGUCGAGUAAAAUUUAAUUGUCAGAACUAUUGCAGGAUUCGUGCAGAGCGAACCAGACCUAGGUGAAACUAUAACUAAGCUUUAGGUAUUAUUAGAUAUAUGCCUUCCCAGGAGAUAGCUGUUACGUGUGCGGUCUUGUCGGUGUCCAGUCGUCAGACCAAUAUUGGCCUUUCAUUAUCAUACUCCAGUUCCGUCUUGAGAUGCAUGCCCUAUAUACAUAUGACUAUGUAAAGUGUAACGUUGCCAUACUAUAGCCUAAAUAUAUAUAUAAAUUUUUCCUGACAGUUCAUUUUCAAGUCGAAUAAAUGAAAAUAAUAUAAGUAUUGUAUAGUUAAUUGAAAUUUAACAACGAAAUAUAAAUAAAUUUACCGACGAAAAGUUCUUGAUAAUUUAAAAUAUUCACGGAAUGACAUCGUUAAAUAGAAACGUUAUCCGAAAUUGCGAGACAACUUUUUGCACAAUUUAGGCACCACCAAAAUUAAAGUUACUUUUUAAUAUUAAAGUGACGAUUCGUCAACAAUACGCAGCGGCCAUAUUGCUUCACAGUGUUGCCAGGCGUGAUAAUUAUUAAUUUGCGAGACACUCUCGCGGCUGUCAUUAGUGACACCUCGCGCCAAUUAGGACGCGCCGAGUGUUUGAUGCUCGCUUUUUAUUUAACACCAGCAAUUAUUGAAUGACGAUGUGUUGUAGUGCUUUUUCAGUUGUGCAGAGGUGUUGACAUUUACAAUUUAAAAAAAAAAAAUCUCUGCACAUUUUCAUCGCACUUAAAUGAUAGGGAUGUUGAUUGAAGUUAGGAAUUCUACAAGUGGGGGGAGGGGGUAUGGUUUACACAAAACAAAUAUAUCUUGUAAAUUGUUUGAAGAUCUUGUAACAAAUUUAUUGUGACACUUUAUUGUUAUAUUUAUUUUAACUAUUACUUUAAAAAAAAAUAUUGAAUCAAAUAUUGUGAUAAUUAUUGGCUAAUUAGACUUAAACCGUUUAGGAAUAAUAUUUUUAUAUUGGUAUAAGUGAAAAGUAAUAUUUUAAAGAGUUAAAAAUUUAUGUAUGUAAUAUAAUAUAGUUUUUAAUUUUAUAAUAAGAUAUUAUACCUUACAUUUGAAAUAAAGAUAAUGUAUAUA